CCUCCCGUCCUCCCCCAAUCCCUGCCUCCUCCUCCUCUAGAGACGGCGGCGGCUCGGCCCGGCCAUGGAGAUGGACCUCAGCGCGGUUGGAGGUGAGAGCGGGAGGAGGCGCUGGAGGAGCGUAUCCUAGAGGAGGGUGGCGGCGACCGGACGGAGCUAGAUCGGAUGUCCAUGGUGGUGCGCCGCCUCUUCCCCGAGUCGCCAGACAGCCGAACGCGGCGAUGACCAGACGCGGCGGCUGUACGCGACGGAGGCUCGCCGGACGGCCGGAUGCGGCGGCGCGGCGGCGGCGCAGCGUCUGGACGCUGCAGCGGUGGAGGCUCACCGGAGUUGGAUGCUUAGGAGGCGCGGGUCAGGCGGCGGCGGGCCUCCACGAGUAAGCUUUGACCUGGAUUUGGGCAAAGAGAAUUGUCAAAGAAGGUGAUUUGGAGAAGGGAUCUCACUAUUACUCGCUAAACUGUUACAUGACACUAAAAAAUGAUCCACCUACUGAAGCAUUUUUUGCUGAUGGGAUUAUGUGCUUUGAGUAUCAGCAUUCAGCAAUGAAUGCUGAUGAAACUCCCCCGUGUAUUCUUGAAGUUAAGUGUCACGUUCAGCAAUUCUGACCGGCAAAUGCAUCAUUUUUCUUAUAUUUAUUCACAGUUUAUAUAUCCGGCAAGUGCUCGUCUCGGUGGCCAUGUAUUAGCUAAAUAUAAUUUUCUCCUUUUGAGAAAACGAAAGCCUAAUGGAGUAGUUCCUUCAGUAGAAACAGACAAGCCUCUGAAUACUUUAGCAACAUAAUUGGAUCGUACCAUGAGACGGUGGAAUAUAAAGGGCUAUGAAGGCAGACCAAGAGAUCGUUGUUGUGUCGUUGUCUGCCUCAGUUACAUCGAGCUUUACUUCCAGAAGGAGAAAAGUCACUCUCCAACUUAAAUAGAUACUGCUCUUUGAUCACAUAUCCUGGUAUUUUUGAUCCUUCAGGUCAUACAAAUGGUAGGAUCAUGACUUCCCCGGUGGCUUGAAGAAGAUUGAUGGGUUGCUAUAUUUUGUUUCUCUUCUUCAUUUUAAGUUUAAGAAUGUGUGCACCUAAAGGAUUGCUUAGGUCACUACCAAUAGUUUAUUUUUAUUCUAUGCAUCUUAAGUAUACUCCUAGAAAGAAAUUGUACAAAUUUAGUCAUUCUGCACAGUCAACAAAUGUCCUGCAUUUUUACGUUGCCAUAUCUUUAGCUCUUCUUCUAUUAGUUUGUUUUAUGUACCAAUAUUUCUAAACCAUUAAAUGGACGGAUGUAAAACUACAAGCUUUUGGUAUCCUAUAAUUUUUAGGAUAGUUUACAGGAUAAAGAGUGAACACAAUUUUUUUGCAGGAUAAAAAGUUCAUAUUGAUUAGAUUUUCAGUUGAACAUUGCUGUCGAAUGCUGAUCGAAGGUUGUUGAUUUCAAUGUUCGACUAAGCUUGUUUAUGUUAUUCACUUUCUCCUUAUUUCUGCAGUAAUUACCUACAGCAAACACGACAGAUUGAUUGCGAGGAGCUGGUGCUCCUUCAUCUCCUCCGCUCAGCCAGGAGAUGUCAUCGAGAUGUCUUGAGCCAAUUAUGUACAGUGAGGAGAUGGUGGGACCUUGUGGUUGCAGCGGUGGAUCCCCUGGCACUGCGGUAUCCUCAGCCAGAGCAGGACGGCCUGCCAGCAACCCCGUCAUCACCAGCUUGUUCCUAGGUCAACUCAUUGUUCUUCAAUACAUGCAAUGAACGGAUCUUGGCUACAGGAUUUGGCAAUGCAACUAUUAAGCUAUCUGACUUGUGAAAACUAUCAGGAAGCUUGCAUGCUUCCGAAAGAGUGUGUAUUUUCUUUAUUGUUACCUGUUUGGGGGCGAUGUCUUUCAGGUUGUGUGGAAUCCAAAUUUGGAGACUAUUAUAUUGCUUUCCAACUGAGGACAAAAGGGUGAUGAUAUGGGACUUUAGUGAAGGAGAGCAUGUCUGCAAUGUCUAGGUCGUUUCAUUGGUGGAACCAACCCAGGCCUAGGAAAAAUAGCAAGUCUCGUGGCUGGCGGCGGGUUGCCUGUCUAUGGAAAAUAUUGAGAGGCUGCCCAAGUUGAAAAAGAUAUAUAGUAUGGAAUCCAAAGGAAUAUUCACCGAAUGCUUCUGGGAUAGAAGUGCUUGUGUUGGCAUCAUGAUGAGGCUCCAGAAACAAGUGAUGUGCAUAUUUUCUAAUGGCCAGCCAAGAUACAUGUAAGAUAACAAUUGGUAUCUCUCGAUUCUCUAGGAGAUCCUUUAGCGCAGACAGUGCUUCCAGAUCAUGCCCUUUGUUUGGCUGCUUGAGGUGAUCCCUUUCAGUCCAUCCUAUUCCGCUACUCGGGAGGAGAGGUUUCAGAGUUCAAGCCGUUUCAAAGUAGAAACAGUGGAGGGCUAAGUUGUUUUGCAACUUCUUUUCAGCCCUAGGACUGUGGCUAGGGAAUUGGUGGUCUGGUGCUUGGACCGUGGUACUGUCGCUGCUACUGUCUAGGUUUCUUCCUGCAUUGUUUAUCUGAGAGGGAAGCUGGAACCUAUGCAGUAGAAGUAUUUUAGCCUUUACACCAUGGUGAAGGAAUGUCAUAUUGCCUGUGACACCAGUGACCAUAAUAUGUCCUCUGUACUGUUAGUGGAAGAACCUGCAAUCCUGUAAGCCUAAAGUAUGAAAUGAAUCUUUCUAUGUAUGGUGUAUGAAUCAUUGUCCAGACUUUCAGGCAUGCCAUGAGUUGCUAUCUUUAAAUGCUUAUUUCCUGUGAUGUGCAUUGCAUACGAAUGUAGGUAUGGUCUGCUGAUAUUGAUGACUUUCCUGCUUUGCCAAUGACAUUAUUCAUCUAUCGCAACUGAAUUAAAGAGGAAAAUGAAACUACGAAUCAUCCUGGCUAUUUUCUUUUGUCUUCGUCAUUUCAUGGACCUUAGUUUAAAUAGAUUGUAAUGGUGUAUUGCAGAUUUUCAAAUUUUGGGUAAUUACUAAUUAGAAAGAU